rnacentral:rRNA from 1 species
UACGGGGGGGGCAAGCGUUGUUCGGAAUUACUGGGCGUAAAGGGCUCGUAGGUUGCCAACUAAGUCAGACGUGAAAUCCCUCAGCUUAACUGGGGAACUGCGUCUGAUACUGGAUGGCUUGAGUUUGGGAGAGGGAUGCGGAAUUCCAGGUGUAGCGGUGAAAUGCGUAGAUAUCUGGAGGAACACCGGUGGCGAAGGCGGCAUCCUGGACCAACACUGACACUGAGGAGCGAAAGCGUGGGUAGCAAACGGG